rnacentral:rRNA from 1 species
AGUGAACGCUGGCUGUAGGCCUAACACAUGCAAGUCGAACGGCAGCACAGUAAGAGCUUGCUCUUACGGGUGGCGAGUGGCGGACGGGUGAGGAAUACAUCGGAAUCUACUUUUUCGUGGGGGAUAACGUAGGGAAACUUACGCUAAUACCGCAUACGACCUACGGGUGAAAGCAGGGGAUCUUCGGACCUUGCGCGAUUGAAUGAGCCGAUGACGGAUUAGCUAGUUGGCGGGGUAAAGGCCCACCAAGGCGACGAUCCGUAGCUGGUCUGAGAGGAUGAUCAGCCACACUGGAACUGAGACACGGUCCAGACUCCUACGGGAGGCAGCAGUGGGGAAUAUUGGACAAUGGGCGCAAGCCUGAUCCAGCCAUACCGCGUGGGUGAAGAAGGCCUUCGGGUUGUAAAGCCCUUUUGUUGGGAAAGAAAAGCAGCAGGUUAAUACCCCGCUGUUCUGACGGUACCCAAAGAAUAAGCACCGGCUAACUUCGUG